AAGAUUAGACAAAAAUGGAAGGGAAAACGGGAUGGAUUUGGAGAGAUUUGAAAUUCGAAAUUCAAAUCCUCCUAUAAGUUGUCAGCCAACUCGAACAUUGUACCAAACUUGUACAAUUCUCAACGGAGGUGGAGGGCUAGGAUCUAUUUGAGCGUCCUCGAGAUGACGAAAACUUGUAUUGCUUUUCCUGCUAGAAGAGCUGCGCCG
rnacentral:misc_RNA from 1 species